AUGUCUUUGUUAGAAAUAUUAGCUAGUAAUGGAGGUUCCGUCAGCCUGCAAGACUGCCAAUCGAUGAGUUCCACAAAGUCUGUGGCAUUAAAAUAAAUUUUUGGAAUAGUAAAAAAUCUUAUAUAUUGAUUAUUCUGAUUUUGCUGACGAAUUUUCAAGAGACGACGAUAACCUAGCUCCCUUAUGGACUUGGUUUCAUCUGUUACCAUCGCAAGUAACAGAUUUUCUGGAUGAGCAUAGAAACCAUUUCUCUGAAUGACGGGAUCAAUAAUUUCCAAAAGUUUCUUGUCAAAAUUUCUGGACCAUCUAAUCAUAUUCAACAGAUGACGAGGACCGUCCUUACAUAACGGCUUCAGGUUAAUAUGGAACCAUAAAGGUGCGUACACCUUUAGUACGUAUUCGCUUAGAAUUUGAAGAUUACUUGAGACUUCAUUUGUGGAUAUAUAAAGUCUAAGUAUCCUAUUUGCAGCUGUUAGCCAACGGGAAUGGGAUAAUUUGCCCGGGUUUCGAUUGGCUAGGCUCUCCGUGCAAAUGCCAGAAGUAACAGUUUGACAUAUAUCCCACAAAUAUUUUUGAUCGGUACUUAAAACAUCAGGAACAAGCACUGGAAAGUUUCCACUCUGUAUUGGAUUAAAUGACACAACUGGCAAAUUUUAACAGCUUUCUAAAGCUUUUCCAAUGGUACCAGAAUAUCCGCUAGGUCCUGUUGAAGGUCCAUCUAACUUUUGAAUAUUCACAACUGUUCCGUCACAUCCGAUAGCAUUUAAAUGGGAAAAGUCCACCUUUGUCUCUAAGAACUUUACGAUUGCUUGUUUAAUAUGAGAUGCAGUUCCAGACUGCGGCGUCACAUGUCCUAUAUACUUGACGGGGGAGAAUCAAAUUGAUGUUGUAAACCAUAAAAAUACCGUGUAUGUAAUAUAUCUUAUUAUUGUAAAAUUCGAAGCGUUCGGGGAACCUCGGAAAUAUUUUUAAUUUAUUUGUGCUUUUAACACGUUAUUUUGUAUACCGAUAGACAACUUUUGCACACUACCCCACUUCAAAUUUCGAAAAUUGAAUUUUUCGCUCCACCCUAAUGAAUAUUUAUAAAAUUUA
rnacentral:lncRNA from 1 species